CCCGCGUUAGAUCAGAUAGUUGGUGGGGUAAUGGCUACCAAGUGUACGAUAUAUAGCUGGUUUUAGAGGAUGAUCAGCAACACUGGGACUGAGACACGGCCCAGACUCCUACGGGAGGCAGCAGUGGGGAAUCUUAGACAAUGGGCGCAAGCCUGAUCUAGCCAUGCCGCGUGUGUGAUGAAGGUCUUAGGAUCGUAAAGCACUUUUCGCCAGGGAUGAUAAUGACAGUACCUGGU
rnacentral:rRNA from 1 species